UACGUAGGUGGCGAGCGUUGUCCGGAUUUAUUGGGCGUAAAGAGCUCGUAGGCGGCUCAGUAAGUCAGGUGUGAAACCUCCAGGCUCAACCUGGAGACGCCACCUGAUACUGCUGUGGCUAGAGUCCGGUAGGGGAGCGUGGAAUUCCUGGUGUAGCGGUGAAAUGCGCAGAUAUCAGGAGGAACACCAGCGGCGAAGGCGGCGCUCUGGGCCGGAACUGACGCUGAGGAGCGAAAGCGUGGGUAGCAAACAGG
rnacentral:rRNA from 1 species